UGAGGAAUAUUGGACAAUGGGCGCAAGCCUGAUCCAGCCAUGCCGCGUGCAGGAUGACGGUCCUAUGGAUUGUAAACUGCUUUUGUACAGGAAGAAACAGUUCUACGUGUAGAACCUUGACGGUACUGUAAGAAUAAGGAUCGGCUAACUCCGUGCCAGCAGCCGCGGUAAUACGGAGGAUCCAAGCGUUAUCCGGAAUCAUUGGGUUUAAAGGGUCCGUAGGCGGUUAGAUAAGUCAGUGGUGAAAGCCCAUCGCUCAACGGUGGAACGGCCAUUGAUACUGUCUGACUUGAAUUAUUAGGAAGUAACUAGAAUAUGUAGUGUAGCGGUGAAAUGCUUAGAGAUUACAUGGAAUACCAAUUGCGAAGGCAGGUUACUACUAAUGGAUUGACGCUGAUGGACGAAAGCGUGGGUAGCGAACAGGAUUAGAUACCCUAGUAGUCCCUGAGCGGGCUGGCAAGGCGCAU
rnacentral:rRNA from 1 species